rnacentral:rRNA from 1 species
GUCUGGAAAGGCGCGCGAUACAGGGUGACAGCCCCGUACACAAAAAUGCACAUACUGUGAGCUCGAUGAGUAGGGCGGGACACGUGGUAUCCUGUCUGAAUAUGGGGGGACCAUCCUCCAAGGCUAAAUACUCCUGACUGACCGAUAGUGAACCAGUACCGUGAGGGAAAGGCGAAAAGAACCCCGGCGAGGGGAGUGAAAAAGAACCUGAAACCGUGUACGUACAAGCAGUGGGAGCACGCUUCGGCGUGUGACUGCGUACCUUUUGUAUAAUGGGUCAGCGACUUAUAUUCUGUAGCAAGGUUAACCGAAUAGGGGAGCCGAAGGGAAACCGAGUCUUAACUGGGCGUUAAGUUGCAGGGUAUAGACCCGAAACCCGGUGAUCUAGCCAUGGGCAGGUUGAAGGUUGGGUAACACUAACUGGAGGACCGAACCGACUAAUGUUGAAAAAUUAGCGGAUGACUUGUGGCUGGGGGUGAAAGGCCAAUCAAACCGGGAGAUAGCUGGUUCUCCCCGAAAGCUAUUUAGGUAGCGCCUCGUGAAUUCAUCUCCGGGGGUAGAGCACUGUUUCGGCAAGGGGGUCAUCCCGACUUACCAACCCGAUGCAAACUGCGAAUACCGGAGAAUGUUAUCACGGGAGACACACGGCGGGUGCUAACGUCCGUCGUGAAGAGGGAAACAACCCAGACCGCCAGCUAAGGUCCCAAAGUCAUGGUUAAGUGGGAAACGAUGUGGGAAGGCCCAGACAGCCAGGAUGUUGGCUUAGAAGCAGCCAUCAUUUAAAGAAAGCGUAAUAGCUCACUGGUCGAGUCGGCCUGCGCGGAAGAUGUAACGGGGCUAAACCAUGCACCGAAGCUGCGGCAGCGACACUAUGUGUUGUUGGGUAGGGGAGCGUUCUGUAAGCCUGUGAAGGUGUGCUGUGAGGCAUGCUGGAGGUAUCAGAAGUGCGAAUGCUGACAUAAGUAACGAUAAAGCGGGUGAAAAGCCCGCUCGCCGGAAGACCAAGGGUUCCUGUCCAACGUUAAUCGGGGCAGGGUGAGUCGACCCCUAAGGCGAGGCCGAAAGGCGUAGUCGAUGGGAAACAGGUUAAUAUUCCUGUACUUGGUGUUACUGCGAAGGGGGGACGGAGAAGGCUAUGUUGGCCGGGCGACGGUUGUCCCGGUUUAAGCGUGUAGGCUGAUUUUCCAGGCAAAUCCGGAAAAUCAAGGCUGAGGCGUGAUGACGAGGCACUACGGUGCUGAAGCAACAAAUGCCCUGCUUCCAGGAAAAGCCUCUAAGCAUCAGGUAACAUCAAAUCGUACCCCAAACCGACACAGGUGGUCAGGUAGAGAAUACCAAGGCGCUUGAGAGAACUCGGGUGAAGGAACUAGGCAAAAUGGUGCCGUAACUUCGGGAGAAGGCACGCUGAUAUGUAGGUGAAGUCCCUUGCGGAUGGAGCUGAAAUCAGUCGAAGAUACCAGCUGGCUGCAACUGUUUAUUAAAAACACAGCACUGUGCAAACACGAAAGUGGACGUAUACGGUGUGACGCCUGCCCGGUGCCGGAAGGUUAAUUGAUGGGGUUAGCGGUAACGCGAAGCUCUUGAUCGAAGCCCCGGUAAACGGCGGCCGUAACUAUAACGGUCCUAAGGUAGCGAAAUUCCUUGUCGGGUAAGUUCCGACCUGCACGAAUGGCGUAAUGAUGGCCAGGCUGUCUCCACCCGAGACUCAGUGAAAUUGAACUCGCUGUGAAGAUGCAGUGUACCCGCGGCAAGACGGAAAGACCCCGUGAACCUUUACUAUAGCUUGACACUGAACAUUGAGCCUUGAUGUGUAGGAUAGGUGGGAGGCUUUGAAGUGUGGACGCCAGUCUGCAUGGAGCCGACCUUGAAAUACCACCCUUUAAUGUUUGAUGUUCUAACGUUGGCCCCUGAUCGGGGUUGCGGACAGUGUCUGGUGGGUAGUUUGACUGGGGCGGUCUCCUCCUAAAGAGUAACGGAGGAGCACGAAGGUUGGCUAAUCCUGGUCGGACAUCAGGAGGUUAGUGCAAUGGCAUAAGCCAGCUUGACUGCGAGCGUGACGGCGCGAGCAGGUGCGAAAGCAGGUCAUAGUGAUCCGGUGGUUCUGAAUGGAAGGGCCAUCGCUCAACGGAUAAAAGGUACUCCGGGGAUAACAGGCUGAUACCGCCCAAGAGUUCAUAUCGACGGCGGUGUUUGGCACCUCGAUGUCGGCUCAUCACAUCCUGGGGCUGAAGUAGGUCCCAAGGGUAUGGCUGUUCGCCAUUUAAAGUGGUACGCGAGCUGGGUUUAGAACGUCGUGAGACAGUUCGGUCCCUAUCUGCCGUGGGCGCUGGAGAACUGAGGGGGGCUGCUCCUAGUACGAGAGGACCGGAGUGGACGCAUCACUGGUGUUCGGGUUGUCAUGCCAAUGGCACUGCCCGGUAGCUAAAUGCGGAAGAGAUAAGUGCUGAAAGCAUCUAAGCACGAAACUUGCCCCGAGAUGAGUUCUCCCUGACUCCCUGAGAGUCCUGAAGGAACGUUGAAGACGACGACGUUGAUAGGCCGGGUGUGUAAGCGCAGCGAUGCGUUGAGCUAACCGGUACUAAUGAACCGUGAGGCUUAACCUU